AGUGAACGCUGGCGGUAGGCCUAACACAUGCAAGUCGAACGGCAGCACAGUAAGAGCUUGCUCUUACGGGUGGCGAGUGGCGGACGGGUGAGGAAUACAUCGGAAUCUACUUUUUCGUGGGGGAUAACGUAGGGAAACUUACGCUAAUACCGCAUACGACCUACGGGGGAAAGCAGGGGAUCUUCGGACCUUGCGCGAUUGAAUGAGCCGAUGUCGGAUUGGCUAGUUGGGGGGGUAAAGGCCAACCAAGGCGACGAUCCGUAGCUGGUCUGAGAGGAUGAUCGGCCGCACUGGAACUGAGACACGGUCCAGACUCCUACGGGAGGCAGCAGUGGGGAAUAUUGGACAAAGGGCGCAAGCCUGAUCCAGCCAUACCGCGUGGGUGAAGAAGGCCUUCGGGUUGUAAAGCCCUUUUGUUGGGAAAGAAAAGCAGCAGGUUAAUACCCCGCUGUUCUGACGGUACCCAAAGAAUAAGCACCGGCUAACUUCGUG
rnacentral:rRNA from 1 species